UGUUUCAGGAUCCAGUCUUUGCACAAUU
rnacentral:piRNA from 1 species